GUCCACGCGGUAAACGAUGAGAACUAGGCGUCGGGACGGUCACGUUUCGGUGUCGCAGCUAACGCAUUAAGUUCUCCGCCUGGGGAGUACGGCCGCAAGGUUGAAACUCAAAGGAAUUGACGGGGGCCGCACAAGCGGUGGAGCAUGUGGUUUAAUUCGAUGCAACGCGAAGAACCUUACCUGGCCUUGACAUCUGUCGAACCUCUGAGAGAUUGGAGGGUGCCUUCGGGAACGACAAGACAGGUGCUGCAUGGCUGUCGU
rnacentral:rRNA from 1 species